AUUAUUUACAAAUCAUUGUCCGAAAGCUAGUGCAAAAGGAAGCACAUGUUUGUUGUGAAAAUAAAUUUUUGGAUUAGAAAAAACUUGUUUGGUACUUCGGAUAUAUUCGACACCAUUUGGUAAUAGGAUAAAUUUUCUUGUUUCACAAGAAGACUAAAACUCUUGGAUUUAGUGAUGCUGAAGACUUUUACAAGAAAACAUACGUGUGUGAGCAAUACUAUUGCUGGAUUUUGACUAGGAAUUCCUUCCCAGUAUCUAUAUCUGUGUGUGUAUUUGUAUAGUGAUGCAAUAUAUUGAAGCCAAAAGUUAAUACGAACGAAUUUACAUGUACAGUGUGUUUUUUUCCAGAUGUAAUUAUGAUCUGCAGUUAAAUGUUGCUGGAUUACUGGUUGAUUUAUGGAUUUAUUUUCCCAGCUGCAUAAGAUUGGAAUUUUGAGAUUCUUACUCCAGUAAAACUGUUGGAAGUUAUAUUUUGUUUGAAAACUGUUCUUUCUAGUAUGAUAAUACAUACAUAAAGGAAUCGAUAUUGCAAAUUUAUGGAAUAUUAUUAGAUAUUUAUUGUGUAUAGGUCUGUUUAUUAAAGAACAUUCUUUAA